rnacentral:rRNA from 1 species
AGUGAACGCUGGCGGUAGGCCUAACACAUGCAAGUCGAACGGCAGCACAGGAGAGCUUGCUCUCUGGGUGGCGAGUGGCGGACGGGUGAGGAAUACAUCGGAAUCUACUCUGUCGUGGGGGAUAACGUAGGGAAACUUACGCUAAUACCGCAUACGACCUACGGGUGAAAGCAGGGGACCUUCGGGCCUUGCGCGAUUGAAUGAGCCGAUGUCGGAUUAGCUAGUUGGCGGGGUAAAGGCCCACCAAGGCGACGAUCCGUAGCUGGGCUGAGGUGAUGAGCAGCCACACUGGAGCUGAGACACGGUCCAGACGACAACGGGAGGCAGCAGUGGGGAAAAUUAGACAAUGGGCGCGAGCCUGAUCCAGCCAUACCGCGUGGGUGAAGAAGGCCUUCGGGUUGUAAAGCCCUUUUGUUGGGAAAGAAAUCCAGCCGGCUAAUACCCGGUUGGGAUGACGGUACCCAAAGAAUAAGCACCGGCUAACUUCGUGCCAGCCGCCGCGGUAA